rnacentral:siRNA from 1 species
AUGUGUCACAAUCCAAUGCAU